AUUCUAAACAUUUUUGAAUAUCAUAUCAAAAAUUGACCGCUCCAGCGGGAUUCGAACCCGCGUCUUCGACAUACCGUGUCGACGCUCUAGCCAAUUAAGCUAUGGAACGAUAUACUCGCCAGAGCGAAACUUUUGAUAUGAUGAUUUUUACUUUUCGGUUUAAGCGAACCGUGGCGCCAUCUAUAGUGAGUUCUUUACAGAGACUCGUAACUAUUCAAAUUUUCAUAUUACAAUGAAAAUCUUUGACAGGAGACGACACCAUGCUAUUUUUAAUAUGUACGAUUUUUAUUUUUGUGUUACCCACAAUUAGGAAUUCUAAACAUUUUUGAAUAUCAUAUCAAAAAUUGACCGCUCCAGCGGGAUUCGAACCCGCGUCUUCGACAUACCGUGUCUUAAUUGGCUAGAGCGUCGACACGGUAUGUCGAAGACGCGGGUUCGAAUCCCGCUGGAGCGGUCAAUUUUUGAUAUGAUAUUCAAAAAUGUUUAGAAUUCCUAAUUGUGGGUAACACAAAAAUAAAAAUCGUACAUAUUAAAAAUAGCAUGGUGUCGUCUCCUGUCAAAGAUUUUCAUUGUAAUAUGAAAACUUUGAAUAGUUACGAGUCUCUGUAAAGAACUCACUAUAGACGGCGCCACGGUUCGCUUAAACCGAAAAGUAAAAAUCAUCAUAUCAAAAGUUUCGCUCUGGCGAGUAUAUCGUUCCAUAGCUUAAUUGGCUAGAGCGUCGACACGGUAUGUCGAAGACGCGGGUUCGAAUCCCGCUGGAGCGGUCAAUUUUUGAUAUGAUAUUCAAAAAUGUUUAGAAUUCCUAAUUGUGGGUAACACAAAAAUAAAAAUCGUACAUAUC
rnacentral:tRNA from 1 species